rnacentral:misc_RNA from 1 species
AACGCACAUUGCGCCCUCCGGUAUUCCGGAGGGCAUGCCUGUCCGAGCGUCAUUAAACCCCUCAAGCAUCCUUUUGCUUGGUUAUGGCGGAAGAUCGCCCCAGUGGCGUUCUCCGCUGAAAAUGAUCUGGCGGAGAGCCUGGUCUUUGUGGACGUAGUAAGAUAAUUCCUAUCGUCUUCUGAACUGAUCAGUUAUCCAGCCGUCAACCCCCAUACUUCAAGGAUUUUCCUCGGAUCAGGUAGGGAUACCCGCUGAACUUAA